CCUACGGGGGGCUGCAGUAGGGAAUAUUGCGCAAUGGGGGAAACCCUGACGCAGCGACGCCGCGUGAGCGAUGAAGGCCUUCGGGUCGUAAAGCUCUGUCGUAUGGGAAUAAUUUUGAAUGUACCAUAUAAGAAAGGAUCGGCUAACUUCGUGCCAGCAGCCGCGGUAAGACGAGGGAUCCUAGCGUUGUUCGGAAUCAUUGGGCGUAAAGCGGGUGUAGGUUGCUUUUUAAGUCAGGUGUGAAAGCCUAGGGCUCAACCCUAGAAGUGCAUCUG
rnacentral:rRNA from 1 species